UUCAUUCUUUUUUAUGGCUGGAUAAUAUUCCCUUGUACAUAUAUACCACAUUUUUCUCUAUCCAUUCAGCAUUAGUGGACCCUUGGGUUUCUUCCAUGUCUUGGCUAUUGUAAAUAAUGCUGCAAUGAACAUGGAGGUACAUCUAUCUCUUUGAGUUAGUGUUUUUGUUUUCUUUGGAUAGAUAUCCAGAAAUAGUCACUACAUAAUAUUAUUUUUGUUGUUUUGUAAUGCAAACUGGCUUUAAGUUUUGCUUCUGCAUGGUUAAAUUCUUCAUUCUUAUUAAUUGAAGUGGGGGAUGGGAAGAAAGCAGCCAUGACUUUCCUGGGAAAUAUUUGGAAAACUUCCUAGUAGUUUACAUCUGUAAUGGAAUUAUCCUCUACUUUACCUUAAGACUAGAGACAUUUGCUUAGGUCCAUAGGUGGUUUUAUUAUCUAUUUGCCUUGAAUAAGUUUUGAGCUUUGGCCACCAUCUUCCAUGGUGAAGGCUCAAACCUAAGAAUGAAAAGCCCAUACCCUGAGGAUGGCAGAACAGAAGGACACAAAGAACUUAGAUUUUUGAAAAUGAUGAGUUGCUGCACUGAAUCUCUGAUCUUCAAACUCCCUGUUGAAGUAAACACAAAUGUCUUUAUUAUUUAAUCCCCUGUUAAUAAGCUUUGUAAAAUUAACUUCCUGUUGAAUACAUCCUAAUUGACACAGGUUCCUGAUGAUAUAUGUCUUCAUCUUAUUUUCUCUCUCCAGUGUUGGCUCUUGAGAUUAUAAGGAACUGAAGAGAAGCAAAGAUCCAUUUGGAGUGUUUUGAACAGCAUCUGAGCAUGCUGAUAACUUUUAGUGAUUGUAAAACUUAUAUGUUGACCUAUUUUGAAUUACUUUUUCCUUCUCCUGAUUCAGUCAAGCAGGACAGGAGCUUCUAUGUAAAUAUCUCCAUGUCCCUCAGUGGCAUCUGAGGUGAGCUUAUGUUUAUUCAACAAAAAAGGCACAUACUGUUAUGCACAGUUAAUAAAUUUAGGACUGCUAUUCACUGUACAAAAGUAAUUACUCUUGGGUUCAACAGUGAGCUGCCGUGAGCUUCCUGGGAGCAUUUCAAAUAGGAUUAUACUAGCAAAAAUGAGGUCACUCAGAGCCUUUUAGGAACUUGUCAUUUGAAUUCAUAGAGGUCUGCCCUUUUUUUCUCUUUGCUGUUGAGCUCUGUCCCAAACAGUUAGGCAAUUCGACUGGCAAGAGGGCUCCCAGGAACUAGAUUUCAGUUUCCUGAAGUGGGGAUGAGGGAAUCACUACGAGAAAUCAGAGGGCCCACACAGUGAUGGGUAAUUAAGCAUUCUGAGAAUGAAGAAUUGAAAUGUGCUGUGCGGUAAGGGCAUGAUGCUUGAAGUGCUUUGAAUUUAUGGACCACUAAUGCAGAGUGGCUAGUGUUCUCCUUACUACCUUCUAAUAAACUUAACCUGCGCUCAGAUUCCCAAACCCCACCCUGUCACGGUGCAGCCCUUACCUAUUUUGUGAUCUCCCCGCCCCCCCCAGGUUAUUGUCAUCUGGGGGUUUAAGAAACUUGGAAAAUGGAAAAUGAGAAACUCAAAUAGGCUACUGAUAAAUCUUAUCUAUGUAACUAUUCUGUUAAUCUGCCCUGCAUAUCUAUUCACCUACAUACUUAAUGUGUUUUCUCAACCCACUCAACACUCCUACACUGCUUACCUAACCUAACCUCCGUUCUCACCAUACUGACCCAUUUAUCUUUUCAAAACGUAAAGAUCACCUAUCAAUGAAAUCGAUGAAAUUCUCCACUUGAGGACUUUGCUUGAUGUUACCUUAAACUUGACUUGAAGGGCUUUAGCUCAAGUUAAUGGGUUAUUUGUUUUGUUGUUGUUAUGGUUUUAUUUAGGAAGCAGUCCUUACUAUGAUUCUCCUCAGGAGGAUGUGCAGAUGUGACUUGUGUCGGAUCCUUUGACAGACGAUGAUGACGAUGAUAAUGAUGGUGUUGGAGUUGAUUAUGAAGAGGUUGAAGAAAUUGUCUCUGAAAAAGAUAUUUGAUUUCACCAGAAAAUACGGGCACCUGACAUUCCCCUGCCAUGCCGCUAGGACUUCGUCACCUUGAGUCAGAAGUGCGGAGCUCAGUGCAAGGCUCAAACUCAUGAACCAUGAGAUCAUGACCUGAGCUGAAAUCUGGAGUCAGAUGCUUAACCAACUGAGCCACCCAGGCACCCCUGUGGGCUCUGGUGCCUUGACACUUUUGGGGGAGCAGAAUCCUGAAAACAAACCUGGGAGAGCUCAUUUGGCUUGGCUUUUGCAUGGUCAUCAUCACACAAGGUAAGCCAUUAGAUUGAGGACUUCAUGAGUCUGAGGAUUUUGAAACUCUUGAAAGCACAUGAAAGGAGCUGGGGACUCUGGGAGCAACCAUGUUGCCUCUGCUUUGCCUCUUGGAUGUUAUUCUUUAAUCCCCCAAGGCAUUCCUGGCUGUCACUGUCACCUGGCUCAGGGAGUGAGAGACAACAGGGUUCCGAAUUCUUCCACUUCUACUCCUUACCUGCUGAAAGGUUAAAGAGAACAGAAUGGUUGUGCAGUAGCCA